rnacentral:rRNA from 1 species
GACGAACGCUGGCGGCGUGCUUAACACAUGCAAGUCGAACGGAAAGGCCCUGCUUGCAGGGUCCUCGAGUGGCGAACGGGUGAGUAACACGUGGGUGAUCUGCCCUGCACUUCGGGAUAAGCCUGGGAAACUGGGUCUAAUACCGGAUAGGAGCCAUUUUUAGUGUGAUGGUUGGAAAGUUUUUUCGGUGUAGGAUGAGCUCGCGGCCUAUCAGCUUGUUGGUGGGGUAAUGGCCUACCAAGGCGGCGACGGGUAGCCGGCCUGAGAGGGUGGACGGCCACAUUGGGACUGAGAUCAGGACCAGACUCCGAAGGGAGGCAGCAGUGGGGAAUAUUGCACAAGGGAGGCAAGCCUGAUGCAGCGACGCCACGUGGGGGAUGACGGCCUUCGGGUUGUAAAAUCCUUUCGCUAGGGACGAAGCUUUUUGUGACGGUACCUAGAUAAGAAGCACCGGCUAACUACGUG